UCCCUGGUGGUCCAGUGGCUAAGACUUUGAGCUCCCAAUGCAGAAGGCCCAGGUUUGAUCCCUGGCAGGGAA
rnacentral:tRNA from 1 species